CCUACGGGAGGCAGCAGUGGGGAAUAUUGCACAAUGGGGGAAACCCUGAUGCAGCGACGCCGCGUGAGCGAUGAAGUAUUUCGGUAUGUAAAGCUCUAUCAGCAGGGAAGAAAAUGACGGUACCUGACUAAGAAGCCCCGGCUAACUACGUGCCAGCAGCCGCGGUAAUACGUGGGGGGCAAGCAUUAUCCGGAUUUACUGGGUGGAAAGGGAGCGUAGACGGUCCUGCAAGCCAGAUGUGAAAGCCGGGGGCUCAACCCCGGGACUGCAUUUGGAACUGUAAGGCUAGAGUGUCGGAGAGGCAGGCGGAAUUCCGAGUGUAGCGGUGAAAUGCGUAGAUAUUAGGAGGAACACCAGUGGCGAAGGCGGCCUGCUGGACGAUGACUGACGUUGAGGCUCGAAAGCGUGGGGAGCAAACAGGAUUAGAUACCCCUGUAGUC
rnacentral:rRNA from 1 species